UCCCAGCUACUCCGGAGGCUGAAGCUGGAAGAUUGCUUGAGCCUGGGAGGUGGAGGUUGCAGUGAGCUGAGAUAGUGCCACUGCACUCCAGCCUGGGCGACAGAC
rnacentral:snRNA from 1 species